ACCCCCCCCCACUGUCCCUGCCACUCCGGGAUGGGGGGGCAUUCACCCCACACUGACCCCCCCCCAUUGCAGCCAAGAAACUGGUGUCGCAGCUCCUGGAGGUGGAUCAGGACCAGAGGAUCACGGCGCAGGAGGCCCUGGGACAUGUCUGGAUUGCGGGCAACGUGGCUUCGGAAAAGAACCUCAAGGAGGGGGUCUGUGCCCAGAUCGAGAAGAACUUUGCCAAAGCCAAAUGGCGGAAGGCCAUUCGAGUCACAACCUUCAUGCAGCGGCUCCGCGCCCUGGAGCCUGGCGUCCACCCCCCCAUGUCGCUCCCCGAGGUGACGGUGGAGGAGCCCCGCCCCACAGAACCCCCCACCAUGGAGCGACCGAGUGAGCCAGCGGGGCCCACGGAAGAAAAGACGCAAUAACCCCUUUGUACAGCUCCGUGCACCCGGAUCGGACCCAGCGCCCCCUAGAGGGGAAAGGCCCCGGGGCCCAUUCCCAACCUGGCUCUGUCCCCACCCCUGCCCCCAGCUCAGGACCGGCCCAUGGGACUGGGAUGUGCAUGUCCAUCCAUCCAGGCCAGGUGCAUGUUUUCUGAAGAUGCUAUUUUAAUACAGAAAUCCCAGGCUGCCCCCCGCCCCCCUUGGACUUGAUCUUGUCCCCCCUGCACCUACAGGGAGCCUGGAAAUAACAAAAUAAACAGAGAUUCUGUCUCUGGCA
rnacentral:lncRNA from 1 species